ACACUUACCUUUGCAGGCAAGAUACCGAGAUCACGAAGAUGGUUUUCCAAGAGCGAGGUUUAUUGGUUGCAUUCCGGAUGUGCUGGUCCCAAAUGCGAGGAAACUCGACUGCAUAAUCUGUGAUAAUGGGGGACUGCCCCCG
ensembl:snRNA U1 U1 spliceosomal RNA